UCUCAUUGGCCACCCCUGCGGCCACCCCAGAUCUGAUAGGUAGUUGGUCAAGUUCGUCAACACGAGAAACAAGAGAAAUGCUGUCAAUCAAUGAUGACAGCCGAUCAACUGAUUCAGAGCCAGAUUUACAUUUUGAAGUAUCACAGUAAUGGUCAUACUGAGGCUGUGACAGCUGAUCUCUGUUCAGCGUACGUUUGGCCAAUGGCCAGACAGGUCAAGUGUCAGGUGACCGAUGAAACGCACAACGUUACUGCUGCAGCUGCUGAAGAGGUCCGUGAAAGGAGCUUCAACUACUGGAUAAACCGGUGAAAUCCGUCGGAGGCUUUUGUUGGCAUGUCUGCUCUCCAAGGGGCGACCAGAUGUGAGGCUAUGGAGGGAUUGAAGAUAACUGCAAGCGUGUUUUGGUCUGCUUCUUAUCUUAAUGAAUCCAAGUCUAUCUAAGACCAAAGAAGAAGAGGGAACGCCGCUCUCCCACAUCACCAAUGACCCAAAGUUCAAGAGCUACAAGGGCAGCUUUGUUUUGAGCAGCUGCUCUGGUUGGAUACAAUGCAGAACAGGGGAACUGUAGAGAUCUGUGGAUUUGUCACUAAGUGACUUUACAGAUGGUAAAUUUGACCAAAAACACCUAUAAAUAUGUUUAUUAGUGCAGAUUUAAAUACUCAAGUUAGCCUAGAUACCUCCAGCGAGUUGUGGGAAAAUGUGGAAAAACACUAAAAAGAUAAUAGAAGUGGAUAGUAAUAAUAUAAAUCAGAAAGCUGCUUUUGGAUUCCUCUGAUCAUCAUGAAUUGAUGAUCUUUAAAAGUGAGUAUUCAGUAGUAUUUUAUAUUAAGUUGUUGAAAAUUGAAAUUAUUACCAUCUCAAUCUUUUUUUGUUAGACUGCAGAGUGAAAUAAGCAUAAAAAUAAAAAACAGAUGUCUCAUAAAUGUUGCUCCUUAACUUGUUUUUAAGUUUGCUGCUAAAAUUUAGAAGGUCAGUUUCAUAUCGCUCUCAAAUAAAUGGGAUAUUUGUCACAAACAGCCACUUUCAUAAAGAGCUGUUUUGUUGUUUUGCUGUCUUUAUGUAGCAUAAAGGUGUGAACAUGACAGGAAAUAAACUUUUCAUUUCAUCAGUUACAGCACCUGCAGAUGUUAAAAAAUUCUAUUUUCAGACAUACACAAAGAGAAAAUUCAUAAAAAAAAAUGUCUUUAACAUUGUAUUUAAUUUGUAUUGUCAUUUUUUUUAUGUGACAGACCUCUUACAGUGUAAUCUAAGUAAAAAGUCACAUUAUUCUGGAAAUUCUUGUGACCAUGAAAAACCUGGUGCUGAGUUGUUCAAAUUGUUGUUGUGCUGUCUGGUUCUCUGGCUUUUGAAGGACAUGAAACAUUUGCUCUCACCAAGACCAAAUUCAGUCCAUAAAAAUCAUCAAAAGGACCAUGUGGACGCUGGCAUGCAAGCCAGACCGGAUGGACCCACUUAGAAAAAAAGUGAGUGUAUUAACAGCACAUUGUUUAGAUGCUGCUCGGAGUCCAAGGCUAUAAAUGAGUUUAGAUUUAUUCUCAGCGGCAGAACUGCUUCCAGUCUGUCUGUGUAGUCAGAGACAGACACAGUCACAGAGCCUAAUUUAUACACGUGUAGUUUUUACCAACGAGUGUCAUGGUUUUAUGCUAGUUGUAGUGCAGUAAUUCUUGUUCUUUUGUGCUUCAUUUAAGGAGGACGAAGCCACAUACAGUACUGUACACUGAACACUUUGAAACAGAUUAAACUGAAUCGGAAACAAGUGAAGCUGUCAGAUCUUUCACUUUUAAGAAUAUUGUCAAUUUACAACUGAAUAACAAAAAGGGGCACUUUUUGCAGUGCACUGUCUGCUACAUGUCAGUGUCCUCUUUUGUUGUGGAGUACAUUCUCCUCAGGGAAUAAUGAGCAUGAGGCGAUCAGACAGACAGCAAAGCUGGUUUCUCUCUCUGAAGUUUGUGCCAGAAACGCACAUCCUCGUUACACUGGUCCACAGCUACUGGGAACAUAAAGUUCCCGACUUUGGCUUUUUUUUUUCUUUUUCUUUUUGGAGCCAUUGUGUUUGCAUCACUCUCUAACCCCUAAAACCUUCAAGUGUAUAAUUGAGUGGUUACAGAAUAUUUUCAUUAAGUCAGAAGUCGCUGUCCAGCUCUGGCAGGCAGAACGUCUCUGCUCUCAGUCUAGUGUACUUCAAAGUUCUCUUGAAACUUAGCUCUGUGUUUAUUUCUGUCAGUCUUGAAGCCUGUGUAAUCAACAGGGAAUUGGCUUGAAGGUCUUAAAGGGUCCACUUUGAAAUAGAUCAGUACCCGCUUACAUCAACCCUCACUCUGGAUAUGAGAGGUGCAGACAUAAAUUUCGCAUUGGACAGUGAAUAAAAUGAUUAUGAAUUUUCAACAUUUUGAUCUAAGCAUUGAGAAUGGAUAAAAGGCGCAGUCCAAAUGCAUCUGAAAAAGGAGCUUACAUUUUCUAUAUUAUUAAACCUAAGUCAGCCUUUGAUCUUUUAAUCCUGUGCUCAUAAGGUUGUGAGAUAAGCAGGCAUGACUAACGUCUCUUUCUAAUAGUCAAGAAAGA